AUGAUAUUAUUUUUGUUUUUAGUCUAAUGCACUACCCAGUCAUGUAAAGAUCAAUGUGUCCCGGCAGACAUUGUUUGAAGAUUCCUUCCAACAGAUUAUGGCAUUAAAACCCUAUGACUUGAGGAGGCGCUUAUAUGUAAUAUUUAGAGGAGAAGAAGGACUUGAUUAUGGUGGCCUAGCGAGAGAAUGGUUUUUCUUGCUUUCACAUGAAGUUUUGAACCCAAUGUAUUGCUUAUUUGAGUAUGCGGGCAAGAACAACUAUUGUCUGCAGAUAAAUCCAGCAUCAACCAUUAAUCCAGACCAUCUUUCAUACUUCUGUUUCAUUGGUCGUUUUAUUGCCAUGGCACUAUUUCAUGGAAAGUUUAUCGAUACUGGUUUCUCUUUACCAUUCUACAAGCGUAUGUUAAGUAAAAAACUUACUAUUAAGGAUUUGGAAUCUAUUGAUACUGAAUUUUAUAACUCCCUUAUCUGGAUAAGAGAUAACAACAUUGAAGAAUGUGGCUUAGAAAUGUACUUUUCUGUUGACAUGGAGAUUUUGGGAAAAGUUACUUCACAUGACCUGAAGUUGGGAGGUUCCAAUAUUCUGGUGACUGAGGAGAACAAAGAUGAAUAUAUUGGUUUAAUGACAGAAUGGCGUUUUU
rnacentral:sRNA from 1 species